CCUACGGGUGGCAGCAGUGAGGAAUAUUGGUCAAUGGACGAGAGCCUGAACCAGCCAAGUAGCGUGAAGGAUGACUGCCCUAUGGGUUGUAAACUUCUUUUAUAUGGGAAUCAAACAGGGUAUGCAUACCCUCUUGUAUUUACCAUAUGAAUAAGGAUCGGCAAACUCCGUUCCAGCAGACGCGGUACUACGGAGGAUCCGAUCGUUAUCCGGAUUUAUUGGGUUAAAGGGGUGCGCGGGCGGCCUGUUAUGUCAGCGGUAAAGGCCCGGGGCUAAACCCCGGCGAGCCGUUGAAAUUGGCGGGCUGGAGUUGGAGAGAAGUACGCGGAAUGCGCGGUGUAGCGGUGAAAUGCUUAGAUAUCGCGCAGAACACCGAUUGCGAAGGCAGCGUACCGGCUCCACACUGACGCUGAGGCACGAAAGCGUGGGUAUCGAACAGGAUUAGAUACCCCUGUAGUC
rnacentral:rRNA from 1 species